UACGGAGGGUGCGAGCGUUUAAUCGGAAUUACUGGGCGUAAAGGGUGCGUAGGUGGUUAAUUAAGUUAUCUGUGAAAUCCCCGGGCUCAACCUGGGCAGGUCAGAUAAUACUGUUUAACUCGAGUAUGGGAGAGGGUAGUGGAAUUUCCGGUGUAGCGGUGAAAUGCGUAGAGAUCGGAAGGAACACCAGUGGCGAAGGCGGCUACCUGGCCUAAUACUGACACUGAGGCACGAAAGCGUGGGGAGCAAACAGG
rnacentral:rRNA from 1 species